rnacentral:rRNA from 1 species
AGUGAACGCUGGCGGCGUGCCUAAUACGUGCAAGUCGAACGGAAUUUAAAAGAGCUUGCUCUUUUAAAUUUAGUGGCGCACGGGUGAGUAAUAUAUAGCUAAUCUGCCCCUUGCUGGAGGACAACAGUUAGAAAUGACUGCUAAUACUCCAUACUCCUUUUUACCAUAAGAUAAAUCGGGAAAGAAUUUCGGCAAGGGAUGAGACUAUAUCGUAUCAGCUAGUCGGUGGGGUAACGGCCUACCGAGGCUAUGACGCGUAACUGGUCUGAGAGGAUGAUCAGUCACAUUGGAACUGAGACACGGUCCAAAUUCCUACGGGAGGCAGCAGUAGGGAAUAUUGCGCAAUGGGGGAAACCCUGACGCAGCAACGCCGCGUGGAGGAUGACACUUUUCGGAGCGUAAAUUCCUUUUGUUAGGGAAGAAUAA